rnacentral:lncRNA from 1 species
CAAUCUUCAUCUCGCUUCUGUUUUUGAUUGUUUGACCUUGACUUUCAAUGUUAUUGGUCAACAUAUGAGGAUUGGUACAUGAGGUUUCAUUUAAUGCACUUUAAUUUUGCCAUUUCCAUUCUCCAUUAUUCAUCUCCUUCUUCUUCUUCUUAUUCUUUUUCUUUUUUAUCAAUGAGUUGAAGGUUGAUAAGUUAGCAUUGAUUAGAGGGAUUUAACCUUCCUUGAUUCAAAACUAAUUCAUCUUGAUCAAUUGAUCAAGUGAAUGGCUUUGCAUUAAGGAUAGGUUGUCUUUUAAGUCAUGCAAAAGGCUUAAACCAAUACAAGAUCAAUUUUCUUCUCCUUUUUGGCAUGGCAAGUUGUUG